AUCAAUAUUAUUUGUGAGAUAUGAAAGUGAAGAUCUAUGUUGGGAGAACAUGCAGAAUCCGAGUAAUGAAAGGAAACAAAUAUCAGAUCGAUUGGUAUUGUGUUUGAAUCGACUGCUAUUGUUGAAGAGGUUUGUUACUGCUAGCAUAAUUUACUUGGUGUUGUAUUUAAAUUGUUUUGCUAUUGCUAUAUGGGGCAUGUUCUUGCAAAGGUGCUAACAGGAAAAGAGAAGACCAACGGAGGAAACACGGUGAUGAGGCUGCAAGGGAUGGUAUAGCUG